AAUUAUUAAAGUGGAAACAUAAGUUUAUUUAACUUUUCAGUAAAUAUCUACUGAUUUAUAUUUCACUUUCAGAUUUAUUUUUUACUGAAGAAGGCUACAAUGCACAGCAGAACAACUGGCUUAUUCUGAGUUUCUACAUUGUUCUUCCUUUUAUCAUAAUUUUCGCCAUGAUGAUCAUGAAACGAAAUGAAACGAGAAAAUCAUGCAACAGAGAGAACGCAGAAUAUAAAGGUAAAACUAUCCAGUUCUGGGCUUCUCAAGAGUUUUAAUUUGUCAGGGACUUUUCUAUAUGGAUGACCUCUCCACUGAUGUCAAUGCAUAACUGAAGUCCUCCACUACAACUGUAUUGCUGUAUCUCCCUGUAGAUCUGUUGAUAUUUGCUUUCUAUAUUUAGGUGCAUUACAAAUGUUACAUCCUGUUUGGAUUUCCCCCUUUAUCAUAUGUAAUGUCUUUGUCUUUAUUAUA
rnacentral:lncRNA from 1 species